rnacentral:rRNA from 1 species
CAAUAGCGUAUAUUAAAGUUGUUGCAGUUAAAAAGCUCGUAGUUGGAUUUCUGGUAGGAUGACUGUGCCCUCAGUAGAGUGUGCGCUGGCGUCUUGCCAUCCUUCUGUUAACCUUUGGGAGCUUCACCGCUCCCUUUGGGGCUCAGAUAUUUUACCUUGAGAAAAUUAGAGUGUUUCAGGCAGGCUAGCGCCGGAAUACAUUAGCAUGGAAUAAUGGAAUAGGACUUUUGCCUCUUCUGUUGGUCAUGGGGUUCGAGUAAUGAUUAAUAGGGAUAGUUGGGGGCAUUAGUACUUCACUGUCAGAGGUGAAAUUCUCGGAUUUGUGAAAGACUAACUUAUGCGAAAGCAUUUGCCAAGGAUGUUUUCAUUAA